rnacentral:lncRNA from 1 species
AAAUUGUAUCUGGUUUUUGGCAAUGAACUGUCUUUUACUACCUGUGGCGAUAAAAACAUCUCUUCCUAUGGUGAUAAAAGGAUAUUUAACAUUCUAUUGUGUCAAAUUAUCUGUAGUUAAGUUAAAUGGGAAUUUGCAUAGUAGGAAAAAGUAAUGUUCUACAAGUUUUUAAUAAACUAGAUCAUCACAGAAGAAACUAGUUUACUUACUAACAGAUAAUCUGCAAACGUAAAUCUUUAACAGAUGCAUUAGCUCUAACUGCCUGGUGCUAAGAUUUGAGAUUUGAGAUCCAUUCUAGUUUGUUAUAUUAUUAUUAUUUUAUUUUUAAUUUAUCUUUAUUUGUUCUAAUUAGUUAUAUAUGACAGUAGAAUGCACUUUGAAAUAUCAUAUAUAGAUGGAGUAUAAUUUCUAAUUCUGAUUGUACAUGGUGUAGAAUUCCACCAAUCAUAUAAUUACAUAUGUAUAUAAGGUAAAAAUAUCUGAUUCAUUCUAGUAUCCUUCCUACCCCAUAUUUCCUCCUCUCUCUUUAAACCACAAAUUCAAAUUCAUCUGUGUAAUUUAGCACUUGUAUGUCAAUAACAAAGUUACUGUGUUAGUUGCUACAAAAAACAACUUCUAAUCAACUACAAUUAACUCAUAUUCUUUGGGGGGGUGUUAAGAUUUGGAUGUGAGGUGUCCUCCAAAAGCUCAUGUGUGAGACAAUUCAAGAAGGUUUAGACUACAGAUGAUUGGGUUAUGACAGCCUCAACCAAUCAGUGAAUCAAUCUCCUGAAGGGACUACUUGUGUGGUAACUGAAGGUGGAUAGGGUGUGGCUGGAGGAGAUAGUUCCUUGAGGGCGUUCCUUUGGCACAUAUAUUUUGUAUCUGUGAAUGAAUUCUUUCUCUAUUUCAUGAUCCUCCUGUGAGCUGCUUGCCUAUGCCACAGGCUUCCACCAUGAUGUUCUGCCUCACCUGAAGCCCUAAAGAAUGGAGCCAGCUGUCUGUGGACUGAGAUCUCAGAAACUGUGAGCCCCAAAUAAAUAUUUCCUCCUGUAAAAUUGCUCUUGUUGGGGCUUUUAGUCACAGCAACAAAAAAGCUGACUAAAACGGUGUGGUGUGUGUGUGUGUGUGUGUGUGUGUGUGUGUUUUGUACUGAAGAUUUUAGCCAGGGAUAAAUAAUCACUUAACUAACCUUUUUUAAAUUUUUGAGACAGGGUCUCACUAAGUUUCCCAAGCUGGUCUGGAACUUGAGAUCUUCCUGCCUCAGGCUCCAAAGUCACUGAGAUUAUAGUUGGGCACCAUCACACCUUGCUGAUAUUUAUUUUUAAUGUGAAAUUAUGGAACUGAAUCAGUAACCUAGGAGAAGCAUAAAUGAGGAAAUCUGAGACAACUAUAUGUGACAAUGGCCUUAGGCCUGAGCCCAAGCAACUCCAUUUUAAAAAACUCCAGUUUGAAAACUCCAGUCUCAUCAGACGCACCUACCAGAGCCCUCCAGUAUGGCCUCAGACAAGUUACUUCCCCUCACCUUGAUAAGCAGAGUGAAGCCUCUGGCAGGCUGUCCUCUCCUGAUAAGAGGGAAAGGUGAGAAGAUCAGGGUGAAUACCAUCAGACCAGAUGUUUCUGAUCCCAGGGUAAAUGAUGUCAUGAAGAAAUCCAGUGGUAGCUGAUAAGGAUUGAAAAAAGGGUCAAAAGCCCCAAAUUUAGUAUAAAUAAUAGAGCUGAUGAACAGGGAUUCAGCCAGCCCAAACAAGAGUGCACUGGAGCUGAAGAGCCUAAUGAGGACCUGGACUGACAUCCCAUCGCACUGGAGCUGAAGAGCCUGAUGAGGACCUGGACUGACAUCCCAUCGUUGGUCAUCAUUUUCCUGAUCCUCUGUGUGAUCCUCACCACUCUCAAACUCUACCGCAGUGAGAGUGGUNCACACCACACCAGGAAAAGCCUGCCUUGGUUCUGGACCUGAUCACGUGGUCUGAGUGAGUGUGCAUCUGCUGGACUUACAGCCUAAAGUUUAAGACUUUUGAACUUAAUAAGCAGAGGAUAAUGUCUGUCAUUGGCCUGUCAUUAUUGUGUUUUGCAGUGCUUAGAAUUAAUCUAGAAUUAUUUGCUGUGAAUUGAUUAUGUCUAUUGCAGUGCUUGGCAUAAAUGAUUGUCAUUUUCUUGAUUAAGAACCUAUAGAGUGAAAUUAUAUUGAGUGAUUUGAGUGAGUAAAGCAUUGGAAAGGGCAGAAGCACGUGGACAUUCUUUAUUUCUCUCCCUUGCCUGCAUAUGUCUCAAUUUUGCCCCCUCAUGACAUUGUAAUUCAAAAAUUAUUUAUAAAGGAAAUACUUUAGGAUAUAUUAUUAAAAUUAAUUUAAGUAAUUACUUGUGUAGAGAGAAGCUUAUCUAAACAUAGCUUGAAUACACUAUAAAAUCAAAGAGAAAACCAAACAUAGCUCUUCAAAGAGUCUUAUUCAAAUGUAUAUUUAAAUAAUAUGAAAUAAGAAAUAGUUUUUAAGUGGAAAACUUCACAUAAAGAUAUUGGUCAAUCACUAAAUAUAAUUUAUUACCUUCUAAUGCCUAAAAAGCAAGUUUAUUUAUUUAUCUAUUUUUGUUUUACUUGUUUUGUCUCAAUUAUACAAAAUGGUGGGUUUCAUUGUAGCAUGUUUAUAUAUAAAGAUAAACAGUUUGAUUAAUUUCACCCCCAGUGCCCCAUCUUCCCUCCCUUCAUUCAUUCACUGUACCCUAAUUGUCUCCAUUUUACUGUCAUAGAAACUCUUUUAUAUCCCUGCUCCAGUCUCCAUAUGAUACCUUCUUCUCUUGAUCCAACUUUACUUUAUUAAAAUUUGUGGUGUCCAAUUCCAUGUAUGUUUCAGCAAGAAAUCAUUUUGUUCUUUUUUUAAUGGCUGAGUAAAACUCCAUUUUGAAUAUAUAUCCUCUUUUCUUUAUCCAUUUAUCUGUUUACAGACACCUUUGCUGAUUUUAUAAUUUGGCUGUUAUGAGUUUUGCUGUGAUAAAUAAGGGGAUGCAAGUAUCUCUAAAGCAUGCUGUUAGUUCUUUCACUGGAGCAUAUAGUGGGUCUAUUUUUAGAUUUUUAAGGAAAGUUUGAACUGAUUUCCAUUGAAGUUGUAAUAAUUUACAUUCCCACCAACAGUGUGUACUCCUUUUCCCUCCAGGCAUCCUUGCUGAAUUUAUUGUUAUUUUUAUUCUUUAUAAUUGCUAUUCUAACUCAAGGGAGAUGGAAUCUCAGUGUAAUUUUGAUUUGCAUUUCCGUGAAGACUGAAGAUGUAGUCAUUUUUAUUUCUAAUUUUGAGAAGUGUCUCCUCCCUGCCCACUUAUUAAUUGGAUUGUUUGUUAAUAUUGAUCUUUUUCUUUAGUUCUUUAUAUAUUCUGGAAAUUAAUCAUCUGUCCAAAGAGAAGAUAGAAAAUGUGUUUUCUUUUGAAUUUUUUAAAAAAAGUUUUGCUAGUUAAAGACCUAGUGGAAAAUUGUUUAUCAGUGAAUGGAUCUAAAAUCUGUAGUGAGUUGUUUGUAGAUACAUGUUAAAUUGGUAAAUUUUAAUUUGAUCAUUUGAAUAACAGAUAAAAAUAAGUUUUUCAACCCAACAGUAAAAAACUUGCUCAACAAUAUGUAUAAACCCUCCAUAUACACAGGAUAGUUCAUCACUUAAAGAAUUAACAAAGUUAACACACCUCAGCUUUUAAGUAAAAUUCUUAGUUUAAACAUUUCGGUAUGUAUUAAAUAGUUCACUACAGACUUUAGAUGUACUCCCUGAUAAAACAGCUUUUUAUAAGAAAUCUUUAAUCUGCACAGUAAGAAACACCUUUAAGUGCAUUUAAAACUAAUUCAUAUAUUAUACAUAGCAGUUUAUGAAAUAAUUUAAAUCACUGAACCGAAACAGGUAAUAGUCCAUCUUCUUGGUUGCAUCUUUUCCAUGUGUCUCCAAAUACUCACCUUGAACAUUAGUGUCACACAUUGAAAUAAUGGAUCAAAAUAAUUCUUUCAAAAUCACUCUUUAAAGAAAUAUGUCUUUUGAAUUAUUUAUUGGUUUCUUUGCCUAAGUUUUAGCUGACAAUAUAUUUGCUUUUUUCAUCACUGAUAGUAGUUCCUUUGUGCUUUUACUUGCAUUAUGAUUUGAACACAAAUAUCCUUAGAAUAGUUUUCCUCUGAACUAUUCUUUGAUGACUUAUUUCAGUAAUACUGUGUCUUCCAUUUUUACAGGAUUCAAGAGAGCUCUUAGCCAUUUUAUUUUUGACAAAUUCAUUAAAUUAUGCUGAAAAAAGGCAGAACAUUGAUAUUUGCAAUUCAUAGAUUUUUAGAGAGAUGUUACCUUGCAGAUAUAAAGGUAAGCAAAGUAAACUAUGUUUAUGGUCAAAGAGACGAUAAUUGUCAAAGUAGGAGGAGACCCCAAGUCUCAUAAUUUCCAAUGUUGUGUCUUAAAGGCUAUUUUAUGUUAAAUGUCCUUAUUUCUGUAGUUCAUCAGUAGACUAAAAAUGAAAAGAAAUAAAUGUUUAUUUUAUUUCUUACCCUUUGCUAUAGUUUCUUGAUUUUUCUAAACUUGCUACCAUGCCUAAAGGUUCCAACACAAAUUCUCUAUUCCUCUCUCUUUGUUAGCUCUUCUAAAAAUUCUUACUUAAUUCCUUACCUCAAGUCACCGCUAAAGAGACAAAUGGAUCUCAAAUUUACAUCUCCCACAUUCUUAUAUCUCUAAGCCAUUGAAAUUUCCAUCAGUUGAGCAAGCAGCACCAAAAAUGUUAAUAUGCAAGAAAAAAUACAAAUUAUAAAAUUUAAAAAAUAAAAGAUAGAAAUAAUAAAAAAAAAUGUGAGUCUAAACAUUAGUAAGAAAAGGCUUAAUUCAGGGGGAUUAUAACAUUAGGGAGGAAACUCUAAUAAGAAGAUGUGCAAGUGUUUUAAAGGGGCAGAAGUGACUUUCUUUUUAUAAGAAUGAGCAAGUAAGACUAGAAAAAGGUAGGUGUUGGAGAGUGGGAGGAGCAGGUAAAAUCAGAGUUUGUGUUCCUGAUUAUCAGGAAGAUCCAUAAAGGAUGAGUUGUUUCAUGUUUCAGAGGUUCUUUAACCUGAGAAGCAAGUUAAACUUCAGAGGGAAGAGUAAAUCCCAACUAAAUUUUGGUUAAAUCACACUACUGAGCAUUUUUUCACAUUAGUCUGUGAGAUUAAUUAGUUCAUUUGUUAGGUAGAGAAUAGGGAUUUAAAUAUCUGUAUCUGUCCUUGUCACAUUUAAUCAGGGGUAUCCUUCCCUAGAGCUAGCUAAGUCAUGUGUAGAAGGAUGAUUCUUUGUAGCAAGCUGCUUCCUGGUACACAAAAUGGUAAAUUUCUUAACAUCACUAUUUCUGGGAGUGCAGGGACACUGUGAAGUUCAAUGCCGUCAGAACAAAAAACAGGUUUUUAUUUAGCCUCAUAGAAUAUUACUUUACUUCAUGAAAAUAUUUUAUCCUUCCAACUUUUUCAUUCUCACCAAUAAUAUAACCAAGUGUACUACAUGUAGCUCUAUGGACCAGAAUCCACUAAGAGGAUACUUGAAGUAACAGCACUUGAUCAAAUAACAGUCACACCAGUGGAAGGAAGAUACCAAAACAUGUGACACGAAUUAUUGGCCUUCCUCUUUGUCCACGUAUUUCACGUCAAUCAUUGUUUUAUCUAAAAUAACCCUCAACUUUGGAGGGUUUUUGAAAAAUCUUCAGAAGUUCAAAAUACCCUUUCUACAGCUUUACAUAUUACUCUCUCAUGUCCAUUCCUACUGUCCUUUACUUGUUAUCCCCUGGACCAACUCUGCUCUCCAAAAUGCUAUUUACCACUAACCCACUCUGUGUCCUCGACUGCUGCUCAGUGCUUUCUCUCUACUGUUUUUGGCAUUAUCAAAGACUCUGCCUCCUCUGUGGCUUCUCCAAUGAAAUUUGAUUUUCUUCCCACCCAAUGUCCUUGCAGGUUGCAAGUUUAAAUCCAUAAUCCAGACUAUUAUUAUAUCAACUUUUUUUUUCUGAAAACUUUCCUCCUUUGUGUUAUUGUCAGUGAAUAAACACUUAAGUGCAACCAGAAGAUGUAUAACUGUAAUGCAGGGCAUGAACUUAACCUUUUAACAGGUAGGGACAUUGAUAAGGAGAGGGAAAAAAAAUCAGUUGAGAAAACACUGGAAAAGCAGCUUCUUUGGUUAUUUGCCCUCAACAGCGUCACCACCAAACCUAAUAGUAUCCGUAACAUUGUCAACUUUAAACAUCUUAUAUGUGAAUGAUUCAUGCUAUACUAAAUCAAUCCCCUUGUUCUCUAAGUCUUUAGUUUUUGAUAUUUCUCUUAAUUAUUUUUUGAAUAGGUAAUCUGUUGACUCUGAAAGUAUUCUUUGAGAAUUCCUGUUCCUUCUCGUCUAAGUCACGACUUUCUUCCAUUCUUAGUUAAAGUAACCAUUUUAAUGAGUGUCUUGGAUCACUGUUUCAUAAAAUAAGCAAGAAGGAAAACAACAAAUAACAUUGAUUUUAAUUGUCUUCCCUUUCCUUUAGAGGAAUUAACAUAGUGUAGACACUAUUUUUGACUUUCCCUUUUAACUUAUUCAUUUAACCUGGAAAUCUUUUCAGAAAAAAAUAUACAUAGAAUCAUUUUCUUUUUUUCAAAUUAUUAACUGUACAUCAUAGUUUAUUUAACCAAUUUCUUAUUGUUGGAACCUCGUGGAUUUUCUCUGUCUUUUGUAUCUAAAACUUAUAAUUGCAUAACCUUAGACAUGUGUCAUUCCUUACAUUUGAGAUUACAGACAUAAACAGUAUAUAUGAUUAUGUCUUCAUAUCUGCAAAUAACUUCAUUUGAAUGGACUAACUGGGUAGUGACCAUAGGCAGAUGGGUAAUGAUUGGAGGACUUAAGUUACUGGGUAUGAGCCCUUGAAGGGUUCUUCUUCCCUGUGGCCCUUUUCUCUUUUUGCUUUCCAACCUACUGCUGCCCUUCUACCUUGAUGUUCUGCCUCAAGGGCCCAGAGCAAUGGAGUUAGUUAGCUGACCACGGACUGAAACUCUGAAAGUGUGAACAAACAAUGAAUUUUUUUCUUCUAAGUUGUUCUUGUCAGGUGGGUACUUUGGUCAGAGAGAUGAAAAGUUGACUAAUACAAUCUCUUUCCUAGAAUUACACAGACUGCACUCCCCAAAAAUUAACUCAAACUGGUUUCCUCUUCUCUUUCUCUGUUACAUUGUUAAAUUUUUAUAUUUUUCUGAUAUUAUGAACAUUAAAUGACAUUUAAAAUGUAGAUUUCAUUUUCAUGUCUUUUAAAUGAUGUUAAGCAUGUUUCCAAAUAUUUAAUGAUCUUUUGUUAAUUUUUCUGUGAAUUAUAAAACCAUAUGCCCUUGGACUUUUUUUACUAAGUUGUUGGUCUUCUUAUAAAUUCCUAGGAGAUACUUCAUCUUUUGUUCAACUUUUACAUUUUGAAUUUAUCAACAUUUUAUUUUACAGAUCCAAGAUAUUUUAUUUUUCAAUUUUUACUUUAUAAUUGACAUUUUUGUCUGCAUAUUUAUGGGAAAGAGUAUGAGAAUUUGACACAUCUAUGUAGUGUGAAAUGAUCAAAUCAGAGUAAUUAGCACUUCCAUCUCUUUAAACAUUGAUCAUUUCAUGUCUAGGAAACUUCAGACUCUUUUAAUUUACCUAUUUCAAAAUAUAUAAUAAAUUUUUAUGAAUUAUAUUUACCCUAUGAUUCUAUUAAACACCAGAAUUAUUUCCUCCUAUCCAACUGUAUUUUGGUACCCAUUAUCCAAUUUCUAUUUAAGUUUUGAAUAGUAAAUAAUCAGUGUUUUCCCUACUCUAAGCCUUCAUAGGUAUUUACCUAUAUGNACUGGGUAGUGACCAUAGGCAGAUGGGUAAUGAUUGGAGGACUUAAGUUACUGGGUAUGAGCCCUUGAAGGGUUCUUCUUCCCUGUGGCCCUUUUCUCUUUUUGCUUUCCAACCUACUGCUGCCCUUCUACCUUGAUGUUCUGCCUCAACGGCCCAGAGCAAUGGAGUUAGUUAGCUGACCACGGACUGAAACUCUGAAAGUGUGAACAAACAAUGAAUUUUUUUCUUCUAAGUUGUUCUUGUCAGGUGGGUACUUUGGUCAGAGAGAUGAAAAGUUGACUAAUACAAUCUCUUUCCUAGAAUUACACAGACUGCACUCCCCAAAAAUUAACUCAAACUGGUUUCCUCUUCUCUUUCUCUGUUACAUUGUUAAAUUUUUAUAUUUUUCUGAUAUUAUGAACAUUAAAUGACAUUUAAAAUGUAGAUUUCAUUUUCAUGUCUUUUAAAUGAUGUUAAGCAUGUUUCCAAAUAUUUAAUGAUCUUUUGUUAAUUUUUCUGUGAAUUAUAAAACCAUAUGCCCUUGGACUUUUUUUACUAAGUUGUUGGUCUUCUUAUAAAUUCCUAGGAGAUACUUCAUCUUUUGUUCAACUUUUACAUUUUGAAUUUAUCAACAUUUUAUUUUACAGAUCCAAGAUAUUUUAUUUUUCAAUUUUUACUUUAUAAUUGACAUUUUUGUCUGCAUAUUUAUGGGAAAGAGUAUGAGAAUUUGACACAUCUAUGUAGCGUGAAAUGAUCAAAUCAGAGUAAUUAGCACUUCCAUCUCUUUAAACAUUGAUCAUUUCAUGUCUAGGAAACUUCAGACUCUUUUAAUUUACCUAUUUCAAAAUAUAUAAUAAAUUUUUAUGAAUUAUAUUUACCCUAUGAUUCUAUUAAACACCAGAAUUAUUUCCUCCUAUCCAACUGUAUUUUGGUACCCAUUAUCCAAUUUCUAUUUAAGUUUUGAAUAGUAAAUAAUCAGUGUUUUCCCUACUCUAAGCCUUCAUAGGUAUUUACCUAUAUGUUGUCUAGUGUUUUCACAAGUUGACAUUUAUGUUUCAACCUUUGCUAUUUUGGGUAAAAUAACUUACUACUCAAUAAUUUAAUCGAAUCUUAUCAAAAGACUAUUAUUAUCCUAUUCACUGGAGCACCACUUUCAUAUAAAAUUUUCAUGUUUAUUUCAGAGUUUUUCAUAAUUUUGUCUAUUUUCUUGUAAUGCUAAAGUUAUAAAAGUUUAAUAAGUGAGACUAUUUGGUAUGUUUUGGUAUCUAAAAUAACUGAUGUUCCCUUACUGUUCUUAAUUUUUAGGGGUUUUCCAGCCAGUGCUGAUUAAUUAUUUUUCUACAUAAACCUUAAAAUCAACUAGAAAAAUUUCAGAAGAAGAACAAAAUAACUCUGUUGAUACAUUUAUUAGAUCUGUAUUGCAUUCACAAAUUGACUUAUGGAUAAUUGAAAUCUUUUUGAUGUUAAAUCUACAUAUCUAAAACCAUUGAAAGUAGUUUCAUUUUCCAAUGUCCUUUUGAUUCCUACAGAAUUUUACUUCUAUAAAUUGUAUAGCUUUCUUGUUAAGUUUCUUCUUCAGUAUUUUAUUUUCUUUUUUAAAUGGAAAAUUCUCUUUCAAUAAUUAUUUUUGUAUAUAAAGAAUGUUGUUUUAUAUGAGUUACUUUUAUGACUAGCCUAACCUACAAUUCGAGUUUCUCUAGUAUGCUUAUUUUUUCUAAUUAUUAUGACUAAUAUCACAAAAAUAUGUAAAGUAGGCAUAGAGAUAAUGAAAAAUUUUGUCUAGCCUUGGAUUUAAAGCAAUGUCCCCUGUUCUUCCCCACCUAGUAAAUUGUUGAGUUUUAAGUCAAAAUAAACUUUCUUUAUGUAAAAAAAAAUGGUUUUCUAUUUUAAUUUUGUGUAAUCAUUUUGAAAAUCCAAAACAAUGUUGAAUUUUUUCCAAUUUUGUCAAAUGGAUAUAAUCAUAUGGAAUUUACUUUUUUAUAUAAAGUGGUGAAUUUUGUAACUCUGCUUCUUUACAUUGCAUAGUAUUAGUGUUUCUAAAAUAAAGCCAGUGGGUUGAUGUUUUGUUGUCUUCAAAAUAUUAGAGUUCUUGAUCUUCUCCCUUAGUUCAUAGAUUUCUUCUUCAGCAACAUUCAUUCUGCAAUUCAACUUAUUUUUUUUAAUCAACUAUAUUAUUUUUCAGGUCCAAAAAUUUCAGGCAUUAUGUUCAAUGACAUAUGUUUCUUGAUUAUGGUUCCUAUAUUACCCACAAUUUAUCUUGUCUGGUCUUAUAAAUCUCCUUGUUCUGCUAAUGAUUGUCCAUUAUAAUUUAUUGUCUUUCUCAUACAGUGGCUGUGCUAAAAUCCCUUUUAAUAUUUUUUCUCAUAUCUCACUUUCUCUUGUAGCAUUGGCCUUGUUAUCCAGGUAAAGUGAAUCUUUGCAGAGACACAAAUGUCCUGUUAUAGACUGCACAGUUUGGAGAACAGAUGAGAGGUGUUUCUCAGGCUGAGGACUCAAGAACUUCAUUCUCCAUGGAGUAAUCAUUGUCUCUUGUAAUUCAAGUAAUUCACUUGCUACCUAAGCUGGAUUGUUCUAAACUCAUCCUGAUUUUAAUUCACUACUCUUUUCCAGUUCUGAGUGAUAUGUUUUUAUUUAUCUUAUUUUGGGGAGCAAUUGUGGCACUAAAUUUAAAAAUCAAGGAUAGAAGGCCAUGAUGCACCUAAGUACAUGCCUCCUGACCUCACUCACAUAUGCAAAGCUUUGCUCUUUUAUACCAUUGGAUACUGCACUUUUAAAGUCACGAUACUACCAAUUCAUAUUUUAUUUGUUGAACUUCAUAUUUUCACAGCUUUUAUAAUAGUUUAACAAACUCACGAGACUCCUCAGGCAUUCUUCAUUGUACAGUUCUGGGGGUUGUAUAAUGAAAUAUGCAGAUAAAUAUUAUUUUAUCACACUUUGAGAAAUUGGACAUCUUAAUGUCAUUUUCUAUUAUGACUUUCUUUCUUUGGUCAUUAGAUUGACCAAAAAUAGCUAAAGGUUAUAAACUCAUUGAGGCAAUUCCUGGCUCUUGAGUUUAAGCAUCAAUACUAUGUUUAACAUACAUUGGAUAAAAGAUACCCUUUUGAAAAAAUGAACACUAUAGAUCCAUAUAUAGAAAAAUGGAACUGAAGCUUGUCCCUCAGUCUACACAAAAGUUAACUCAAACUGUAUCAAAGUCCUAAGAAUUAGACAAAAAACAUUGAAGUCAAUUGAAUCAAUGCUUCAACAUAGAGAUGCAGGAAAUCCUACUGACUUCCUCAGUAGGGCUCUAUAAUAAAAAUAAUUAAUAAGUGGAAUGGCACAAAGUUAAAAGACCUCCACAUAGCAAAACAAAGAAUUAAGAUCAUGAAGAGAGAAUCUACAGUGUUGGUAAAAAUAUUUGCUACCUAAUGUUUCAAUGAGUAUGAAUAUACAAAAUGUAUAAAAAAUGACUGGGGAACUGAAUUAGAACAAGAUAUAUUCUAUGUUUUUAUAAUUAUGUCAAAAUGGAUUCUACUUUCAUGUAUAAAUAAAAAGAACCAAAAAAAUUAAUAUGUAAAAUCAAAUAACCCAAUCAAUAAAUGGGAAAAUAAACCAGUUUACAAAAGAAAAAUAUAAAUUGCCAGCAAGUAUAUGAAAUAAGUUCAAUAUUCUUAGCAACUAGGAAAAUAAAAAACAAAACUAUACUGAGAUUUUAUCUUAUUCCAAUUAGAACAAGUAAGAUGGACAGUGCUGCCGUAAUAGUUCUACUGUUAACAGGAGAGCAACCAGUUGAUGGCAGAUGGCUUCACCAUGACAUAGCAUAAGCUCAUAUUUUUUAUGAAAGAACCAAAUGAUGCUAGUGAGAAAUUUCUAUUCAAUUAUUACAACAAUAUCUAGAAAAGGGAUCUAGCUUACAGUACUAGAAACAGUGGAGGCCAAAGGACCAUGUGGAAGAUUUAUCCAGAGUGCUUAAAGGGCAAAAAACAGUCCCCCCAUAAACAAAACAAAACACUAGUACCCAAGAAUCUUAUAACUAUCAAAAUUAUAUAUUUCUAAAAUGAGAGCAAAAUUUAAAAUUUCCUAGAUAAACAAGAGCAGAAAAUGUAUUGCUAGCAGACCUUCAUUACUUCAUUAUUAACCAAUUAAAAUAAACAUAUAGGGCUGAAGAUGAGGCUAAGUGAUAAAGCACUUUCUUUCCCUGUAUGAAGCCCUGGGUUUGAUCUCCAGCAUGCACGCACACACAAUUAGAAAAGGGAAACAAAUAGUAUGUUGUGUUUACUUAAUCAAAUAUAAGUUCAGAUUUAUACUUUACCCUUUAUAACAUAAUCUCUUCACUAAAAGCUUGAAAUUUAAAUGGAAGCAUGAAAUUACACUUCUAAGUUUUUCAUUAUUUGCUGGUACCAUGCCCAACCUAUAUUAGGGUUUUUAACAACUUGUAAGUCACUAUCUAUAGGUAAGUAUAACCCCACAUAAUCAUCAUCUGAUAGCUGUCCAGGUAAUUUUGCACAUACAAGCAAGAAAUGGUCACAAAAUUUUAAAAUGCAGGCCUAAGACAUGAAUCCCCUUGUCUUAGUAUUGAUUGAUAUUACUUUUAAAAUACACAUGUUGAGCUGGGUGUACUGGCACAUGCUUGUGAUUCCAGCAGCUGGGGAGGCUGAGGCAAAAGGAUCGUGAGUUCAAAACCAAGCUCAGCAACUUAGUCAGGACCUAAGCAAUUCAGUGAGACCCUGGGAAUGUGGGUCAGUGGUUCAGCAACCCAGAGUUCAAUCUCCAGUACCAAAGGAAAAAAAUAUAUGUGUUGAUACAAUUCACAUACAACUCACCCAUUUGAAAUGUGCGAUUCACAGUUGUGCAACCAUCACCAGAAUCAACUUGACCACAUUUUCAUCUCCCCUAUCUAUUACCCUACAUCCUUAGCCCCUUUGUGUCCUUAGCUAUCUUUGUCUCUAAAGAUUGCCUAUGCUAAACAUUUCAUAUAAAUGGAAUUGUAUAAUAUAUCAUUUGCUAUCAAUCUAAAGAGCAUCCUUUAGUCCUUCUUAUAAAGAAGGUCCGCUAGCAAUACAUUCUCUGCUCUUGUUAUCUAGGAAAUUUUUUAUUUUGCUUUCAUUUUAGAAAUAUAGUUUUGCUAGUUAUAAGUUUCUUUGGUACCAGUGUUUUGUUUUGUUCAUGGUGGGACUGUUUUUUGCCUUUUAAGCACCCUGGAUAUAUCUUCCACAUGGUCCUUUGGCCUCCACUGUUUCUCAAGAAAAGUCAGUUGCUAAUUUUAUUGGGGUGCUUUUUAAAGAGAUGAGUCAUUUUUCUCUCAUUAUUUUCAAAGCAUUCUCUGUUCUGGCUUUAAAUGUUUUUUCUGAUACAUAGAAUAUGGAUCUCUUUGGAUUUAUAAUCCAUUUGGAGUUGGUUGAGCUUCCUAGAUAGGCAGCCUAGUGCUUUAACCAGUCAUUACCUCUUAUGGCUGCUUUCUCUUUUUCUGGUACACCCAUUCUAUGACUGUUAGUGUACUUAAUGGUGUCCCACAUUUUUGAGCCUCUUUUUUUCUCUCUGUUCUUCAGAUUCUAUAAUCACUAAUCAAACUGUCUCCUUCAAGCUUUUUGAUUCUUUUGUUAGUUCAAAUCUACAGUUGGGUCUACAACAGUAAAUUUUUCAUUUCAGUUAUACUUCUAGCUCCAGAAUUUCUAUUUGGUUCCUUUUUAUAAUUUGUGUCUAUUAAUUGAUAUUCUCUAUUUGAGCAUGGUUUCUUUUAGUCAUUUGAACAUAUUCAUGAUAGCUGCUUUAAAGUCUCUCUAAGUCCUUUGGAAAAGCUGUUUCUGUUGUCUGUUUUUUGUUUUUGUUUUAUUGUCAUCAUCUGUUUUCCUUUCUCCUGCCUAUGGGAAACAUUCUCCUAAUUCUUUCAUGUCUUAUAAUCUUUGGCUGAUAACUGUAUAGUGUAACAACUGGACACUAAUCCCCUCCCCUUUCUAUGGCUUGUUAGUGUUUAAUUCUUUAUUUGUGUAGAAAUUAGACCAUUUUGGUACAUCUAUUUCCUCCACAGUGUGCAGGCCUGAGUGUGCACACUGUCACCCUGGAAUGACAAUAAUUUUAGCAGGGCUUUCUUCAACUGUCUCUCCCUGAUCUCUAUGAAACUCUCUGUCUCUUUUUGUAUCAUCUCCUGCUAUUAGGCACCAAUAAUCGUCAAUGGACUCUACUAUUUUCAGAAAUAUCUUGGGGCACAAAUUGUUCCACAAUCUAAUCCAAUUAUAUUCAGGCCUCAGCUGAGGUAGUUUUUGAGAUCUAUUAUGACUGGAGGAGGUCUCUUAUCAGCCAUCUAUUCUCUCUAGUUACCUUCUAGCUGGGCUAUAGUGUAGCUUCCUACUCUCAUGAUGAUACCAUCCUUCCCUUGAUUGCUCAUCACUAAAGCUACCUUGUUUUUGAGGGCAUCUUUGUGCUUGAAUUUCCAAAUAUUCAUUCCCAAAAGGAGUCAGUUUACAUGAGAAGAACUUCAGAGUUCUAUCAUUAUAGUCUUCCACUCCCUUGAGACAAGAUGGAAGCAGGGAUUGAGACCCAAUUCUCUCCCAGGGACACCCUUGUGUUACAAGAAGAGCGCUACAGAGAGGCAGUUGCUUCUGGUCUUCUCAGCUUACCUUUCCAAGUGUGGAACUUCUCUAUGAGAAAGCUGAGGCAGGCAGAGGUUAUAAUUCAAAUGCCACAGAUACUCACUAUUCUGAUCAAAAUAUUGAUUUUCUUGAAUAAAUGUUUUUUCAUUUGCUGUACAGCUUUUAGGACUAUUUCCAGAAACUAAAUGGUUGCUUUCUAAUAAUUUUCUUACAGGUAGUUGUUUCAAUGGCAACUGGAUUCAAGAAGCUCCUUAUGCCAUCAUUCCAGAAAUCACCUUUCAAUACUGCUUUCAGUAAUACUUAAUAUACUACAGUAGAAUAUUAACUACAGUAUAAUCUCAUUACCAGAGAUAACUCGGAGAUAAAGGUCAGGUUAAAGUAAAAAUCCAAAUUUAAAAGAUUUAAAAAAAAAUGUUUUUAGAGUUUGAGAAAUAAAUAAUAACUAGAAUUGUCAUACUUAAGAGAAAUACAUAAUUCAUAUAAUGAGUGAAGAUUUUAAUCUAUAUGAGGAUCACUUGUGUUAGGUUUUUCUAAAAACUGUUGGUCCUACAAAGAUUAUACAAGAAAGUAACAGAUAUCCCCAUAAUUAUCUCGGGUGCAUUUUUUACCUCAAUUGGAUUUUUCUAAACAUAAAAUAUGUUAUAUGUAUAAUAUACAAACACAAAUAGCAUUUUAUAUCCAAGAAACAUUCUAAUUGAAAGAAUGUGCAUUACUGAGUCUCUCUACUCCUUUUGGGAAUGAAUAUUUGUAAAAACAUCCUGAGACUGAAGGGACAUAUGGCAAUUUAAAAACAAAAUACAAAAUUAAAAUCCUUAACUACACAUCUAUUUUGCUUAUAAAGCCAGGCCUUGAGAAAUCAGAUAGAAGAUACAGGCAAGAUGGAAGAACAGAGGUGCCCUCCAAGUGACUCCACCAGAGGAGAAUGAAAGCAACAAACAGAAAGUUGUAUUUGAGACUGGUGGGCAAGGGAGAACUCUGGAAAUUAAGAAACAAGUGAUGGGAAAGCUAAGCAGCACUGAGAAAAAGUCAACCUAGAAAAAAGAGCAAAGUAAUGUAUAAUAUCAAGUUCAGCUGCCUAGCCAGCCUGGAUCAGGAACCAGAUACUGCCCAGAAAAAGCAUGCAAUCCCAACCAUAGUAGGAGACAGGCAGUCCUAAAUGCAAGAGAAUUUCACAGAGCUUACAAGCUUUAAAUCCAGUUUGGGGAACUAGUUGGUAUAAAAAUGAGUAAUCUGCUCUCAAGAAGGAAUCCACUUUGGGUACCCACCCCCAACCCAGAACUUAAGUUAUAACAAUAGCCAUUGCCAGACACCCUCUUAGCUUAGGGACUGACAGCCAGGCCCCUAUCCCCACCAGAAACUUUGAGCUUGUAUGUACCUCUCUGGGCAGAAGACAACCCCUUAACUGUCUGGCAGUUCAGGACCAUGGCUGCCAAAGCCACAAAUCUGAGUCCCACCUACACUUGCCCCACAGGAAUUAAUAAAAUGUGUUUUUUUUUUCAUAUUUAAUCUUUUUAAUUUAAAAAGCAGGAUUGGAAAACAUAAAACUAAAAUGUUUUUUUAAAUUAAAAAAAAAGAAAGAAAGAUCCUCGGUCAUAUUUUUUAAAAAAUAACAAAGAAACUCUAAAAAAAAACCUUUGGGACAUCAUUAAGCAAACAAAUAUUCUAUUAUUUGAAUUCCAGAGGGCAGUGGGGGCAAGAUGGCAGAUCAGAAUGGGGCAGCAUUUCUCCUAACUCAGCCAUCCAGACAGAACUCAAGCAGUGGGAAUACUAGGUCUCCCAAAGACUUAGAGUAAAAAAUCCUGAGACUGGAGGGGCAGUCUGCCCUAGUCAAACCAGAGACUAUUUGACUAAUUAAUCAGGUCUAAAAAUAAAAAACCUCUCCAUGGAGUUUAUCAAUCAUUCACAGAGAGCCAAUCCAGAAGCCAUCUUUGGACUGAAGCACAGUGGAGCCUAUAGAAACUGGAAACCCAGAUCCAAGAAUUUGCAGCUAGGUCUGUGUAGGCCUAUCUAAGCCUAGCAAACCUGUGGAAAGGUUUAAAAAAAAAAA